rnacentral:rRNA from 1 species
UACAGAGGUGGCAAGCGUUGUCCGGAUUUACUGGGCGUAAAGAGCGCGCAGGCGGUCGUUCAAGUCGAGUGUGAAAGCCCCCGGCUCAACUGGGGAGGGUCAUUCGAUACUGAUCGACUUGAAGGCAGGAGAGGGAAGCGGAAUUCCCGGUGUAGAGGUGAAAUUCGUAGAUAUUCGGAAGAACACCAGUGGCGAAGGCGACUCACUGGACAAGUAUUGACGCUGAGGUGCGAAAGCGUGGGGAGCAAACAGG